CAGAUGGGAGCUUGCUCCCUGAUGUUAGCGGCGGACGGGUGAGUAACACGUGGGUAACCUGCCUGUAAGACUGGGAUAACUCCGGGAAACCGGGGCUAAUACCGGAUGGUUGUCUGAACCGCAUGGUUCAGACAUAAAAGGUGGCUUCGGCUACCACUUACAGAUGGACCCGCGGCGCAUUAGCUAGUUGGUGAGGUAACGGCUCACCAAGGCGACGAUGCGUAGCCGACCUGAGAGGGUGAUCGGCCACACUGGGACUGAGACACGGCCCAGACUCCUACGGGAGGCAGCAGUAGGGAAUCUUCCGCAAUGGACGAAAGUCUGACGGAGCAACGCCGCGUGAGUGAUGAAGGUUUUCGGAUCGUAAAGCUCUGUUGUUAGGGAAGAACAAGUGCCGUUCAAAUAGGGCGGCACCUUGACGGUACCUAACCAGAAAGCCACGGCUAACUACGUGCCAGCAGCCGCGGUAAUACGUAGGUGGCAAGCGUUGUCCGGAAUUAUUGGGCGUAAAGGGCUCGCAGGCGGUUUCUUAAGUCUGAUGUGAAAGCCCCCGGCUCAACCGGGGAGGGUCAUUGGAAACUGGGGAACUUGAGUGCAGAAGAGGAGAGUGGAAUUCCACGUGUAGCGGUGAAAUGCGUAGAGAUGUGGAGGAACACCAGUGGCGAAGGCGACUCUCUGGUCUGUAACUGACGCUGAGGAGCGAAAGCGUGGGGAGCGAACAGGAUUAGAUACCCUGGUAGUCCACGCCGUAAACGAUGAGUGCUAAGUGUUAGGGGGUUUCCGCCCCUUAGUGCUGCAGCUAACGCAUUAAGCACUCCGCCUGGGGAGUACGGUCGCAAGACUGAAACUCAAAGGAAUUGACGGGGGCCCGCACAAGCGGUGGAGCAUGUGGUUUAAUUCGAAGC
rnacentral:rRNA from 1 species